rnacentral:rRNA from 1 species
GAUGAACGCUAGCGGCAGGCCUAAUACAUGCAAGUCGGACGGGAUUCAGGAGCUUGCUUCUGAUGAGAGUGGCGCACGGGUGCGUAACACGUAUGUAACCUACCUUUAUCAGGGGGAUAGCCUCUCGAAAGAGAGAUUAAGCCCGCAUAAAAUCACAGCACAGCAUUGUGUAAUGAUCAAAUAUUUAUAGGAUAAAGAUGGGCAUGCGGAACAUUAGCUAGAUGGCGGGGUAACGGCCCACCAUGGCGACGAUGUUUAGGGGAUCUGAGAGGAUGGCCCCCCACACUGGUACUGGGACACGGACCAGAGUCAUACGGGAGGCAGCAGUAAGGAAUAUAGGACAAUGGGCGGAAGCCUGAACCAGCCAUGCCGCGUGCAGGAAGACGGCCCUACGGGUUGUAAACUGCUUUUAUACGGGAAUAAACCCAGAUACGUGUAUCUGGCUGAAUGUACUGUAAGAAUAAGGAUCGGCUAACUCCGUG